UACGGAAGGCAGCAGUGGGGAAUAUUGCACAAUGGGCGCAAGCCUGAUGCAGCCAUGCCGCGUGUAUGAAAAAGGCCUUCGGGUUGUAAAGUACUUUUCAGUCGUGAGGAAGGUGUUAAGGUUAAUAACCUUAGCAAUUGACGUUAGCGACAGAAGAAGCACCGGCUAACUCCGUGCCAGCAGCCGCGGUAAUACGGAGGGUGCGAGCGUUAAUCGGAAUUACUGGGCGUAAAGGGCACGCAGGCGGUUAAUAAGUUGGAUGUGAAAUCCCCGGGCUUAACCUGGGAAUGGCAUUCAAGACUGGUUAGCUAGAGUCUUGUAGAGGGGGUAGAAUUCCAUGUGUAGCGGUGAAAUGCGUAGAGAUGUGGAGGAAUACCGGUGGCGAAGGCGGCCCCUGGACAAAGACUGACGCUCAUGUGCGAAAGCGUGGGGAGCAAACAGGGAUUAGAUACC
rnacentral:rRNA from 1 species